UGGGGAAUCUUCGGCAAUGGGCGCAAGCCUGACCGAGCCAUGCCGCGUGAGCGAUCAAGGCCCUACGGUUGUAAAGCUCUUUCGCCAGGGAUGAUAAUGACAGUACCUGGUAAAGAAACCCCGGCUAACUCCGUGCCAGCAGCCGCGGUAAUACGGAGGGGGUUAGCGUUGUUCGGAAUUACUGGGCGUAAAGCGCGCGUAGGCGGAUCAGAAAGUUGGGGGUCAAAUCCCGGGGCUCAACCCCGGAACUGCCUCCAAAACUCCUGGUCUUG
rnacentral:rRNA from 1 species